UACGUAGGGGGCAAGCGUUGUCCGGAUUCAUUGGGCGUAAAGAGCGUGUAGGCGGCCAGGUAGGUCGGUUGUGAAAACUGGAGGCUCAACCUUCAGAGGUCGACCGAAACCAUCUGGCUAGAGUCCGGGAGAGGAGGAGUGGUAACUUCCGUGGUGUAGCGGUGAAAUGCGCAGAUAUCAGGAAGAACACCCGUGGCGAAAGCGGCUCUCUGGAACGGUACUGACGCUGAGACGCGAAAGCGUGGGGAGCGAACAGG
rnacentral:rRNA from 1 species